rnacentral:rRNA from 1 species
GACGAGGGAUCCUAGCGUUGUUCGGAAUCAUUGGGCGUAAAGCGGGUGUAGGUGGGCUUCUAAGUCAGAUGUGAAAUCUUGGAGCUCAACUCCGAAACUGCAUUGGAUACUGAUUGGCUUGAGGAGUGGAGGGAGACUGGAAUUCUCGGUGUAGCAGUGAAAUGCGUAGAUAUCGAGAGGAACACCAGUGGCGAAGGCGAGUCCCUGGACAUUUCCUGACGCUGAGGCACGAAAGCCAA